AUACUUACCUAGCUAGGGAGAUACCAUGAACACGAAGGUGGUUUUCCAAGGGUGGGGCUCAAUUUCCCUAAAUGUUGGAAACUUACUACAUAAUUUGUGGUAGUGAAGGACUGCAUCUGUGCUCUCCCCUA
rnacentral:snRNA from 12 species